rnacentral:rRNA from 1 species
GACGAACGCUGGCGGCGCGCUUAAAACAUGCAAGUCGAACGGAAAGGCCUGCUUUCCCUUGUGGAUUGCGGGUACUCGAGUGGCGAACGGGUGAGUAACACGUGAGUGAUCUGCCCCCAACUUGGUUAUAAGCCUGGGCAACUGGGUCUAAUUCCCGUUCAGACUGCAGGGUGGUGACUGUGGUGGAAAACGAUUCUCUAGUGGUUGGGGAUGAGCUCGCGGCCUAUCAGCUUGUUGGUGGGGUAAUGGCCUACCAAGGCGGCGACGGGGAGCCGGCCGGAGAGGGUGGACGGCUACAUGGGGACUGAGACACGGCCCGGAUUCCUACGGGAGGCAUGAGUGGGUAGUAUUGCAUAGUGGGCGGAAGGCUGAGGCAGCGACGCCGCGUGGGAGAUGACGGCCUGCGGGUUGUAAUCUCCUUGCGACAGCGAGGAAGCCACCUGGUUGGGAGGGUGGUGACGGUAGUGGAAGAAGAAACAACGGCUAACUACGUG